UACGGAGGGUGCAAGCGUUAUCCGGAUUCACUGGGUUUAAAGGGUGCGUAGGCGGGUAGAGAAGUCCGUGGUGAAAUCUCUGAGCUUAACGCAGAAACUGCCAUGGAUACUAUUUGUCUUGAAUAUUGUGGAGGUAAGCGGAAUAUGUCAUGUAGCGGUGAAAUGCUUAGAUAUGACAUAGAACACCAAUUGCGAAGGCAGCUUACUACACAGUUAUUGACGCUGAGGCACGAAAGCGUGGGGAUCAAACAGG
rnacentral:rRNA from 1 species